rnacentral:rRNA from 1 species
UACGUAGGGUGCGAGCGUUAAUCGGAAUUACUGGGCGUAAAGGGUGCGCAGGCGGCCUCGCAUGUCGAGUGUGAAAUCCCCGGGCUUAACUUGGGAAUGGCGCUCGAAACUACGGGGCUGGAGUGUGGCAGAGGGAGGUGGAAUUCCACGUGUAGCGGUGAAAUGCGUAGAGAUGUGGAGGAACACCGAUGGCGAAGGCAGCCUCCUGGGCCAACACUGACGCUCAUGCACGAAAGCGUGGGGAGCAAACAGGAUUAGAAACCCCUGUAGUCC